UCCGGUUGAUCCUGCCAGAGAUCACUGCUAUCGGGAUUCGAUUUAGCCAUGCAAGUCAAGGGGGUCUUCGGACCACCGGCAUAAUGCUCAGUAACACGUGGAUAAUCUACCCUCGGGAGGGGCAUAAGCUCGGGAAACUGAGUUUAAUUCCCUAUAGCCAUCCGAUUGCUGGAAUGCGCGGAUGGUCAAAUGUUACAGCGCCCGAGGAUGAGUCUGCGGCCUAUCAGGUUGUAGUGAGUGUAACGGACUCACUAGCCGACGACGGGUACGGGCCUUGAGAGAGGUAACCCGGAGAUGGAUUCUGAGACACGAAUCCAGGCCCUACGGGGCGCAGCAGGCGCGAAAACUUCGCAAUGCGGGAAACCGCGACGAGGGAAUCCCGAGUGCCUACACAUUUGUGUAGGCUGUUUAUGUGCCUAAAAAGCACGUAGAGUAAGAGCUGGGUAAGACCGGUGCCAGCCGCCGCGGUAAUACCGGCAGCUCGAGUGGUGGUCAUUUUUACUGGGCCUAAAGCGUCCGUAGCCGGUUGAGUAAAUCCCUGGGUAAAUCGUACCGCUUAACGGUACGACUUCCGGGGACACUGCUCGACUUGGGACCGGGAGAGGUUGGAGGUACUCCAGGGGUAGGGGUGAAAUCCUGUAAUCCUUGGGGGACCACCUGUGGCGAAGGCGUCCAACUAGAACGGCUCCGACGGUAAGGGACGAAGCCCUGGGGCGCAAACCGGAUUAGAUACCCGGGUAGUCCAGGGUGUAAACGCUGCGGACUUGGUGUUGGAAGUUCUACGAGUUCCUCCAGUGCCGGAGAGAAGUUUGUUAAGUCCGCCGCCUGGGAAGUACGGUCGCAAGACUGAAACUUAAAGGAAUUGGCGGGGGAGCACAGCAACGGGUGGAGCGUGCGGUUUAAUUGGAUUCAACGCCGUAAAACUCACCGGAGGCGACUGUUACAUGAAGGCCAGUUUGAUGGACUUGCCUGAUUUUCAGAGAGGUGGUGCAUGGCCGCCGUCAGUUCGUACCGUAAGGCGUUCUGUUAAGUCAGAUAACGAACGAGACCCCCAUUCUUAUUUGCCACUUAUCUCUCAGGAGAUGAAGCACUAUAAGAGGACCGCUGGCGCUAAGUCAGAGGAAGGCGGGGGCAACGGUAGGUCAGUAUGCCCCGAAUCCUCCGGGCGACACGCGCGCUACAAAGGAUAGGACAAUGGGCUGCGAUACCGAAAAGUAAAGCCAAUCCCGAAACCUAUUCGUAGUCCGGAUUGAGGGCUGUAACCCGCCCUCAUGAAGCUGGAAUCCGUAGUAAUCGCGGGUCAACAUCCCGCGGUGAAUGUGCCCCUGCUCCUUGCACACACCGCCCGUCAAACCAUCUGAGUUGGGUCGGAAUGAGGAUUUCUCUACCUGGGGAGUUCGAAUUUCGGUUCAGCAAGGAGGGUUAAGUCGUAACAAGGUA
rnacentral:rRNA from 1 species